GAGACCCACGCCCACAGUUGCCAGCGUACUCUCCGGAGUGACGGGUACACUGUGGGGACCGCCGCUGCUAAAGCGGAGGAAGGAAUGGGCAACGGUAGGUCAGUAUGCCCCGAAUAUCCCGGGCUACACGCGAGCUACAAUGGUUGGUACAAUGGGUAUCUACCCCGAAAGGGGAUGGAAAUCUCCUAAAGCCAAUCUUAGUCCGGAUUGAGGGCUGCAACUCGCCCUCAUGAAGCUGGAAUCCGUAGUAAUCGCGUUUCAACAGAACGCGGUGAAUGC
rnacentral:rRNA from 1 species